ACGUGGGUAACCUGCCUGUAAGACUGGGAUAACUCCGGGAAACCGGGGCUAAUACCGGAUGGUUGUUUGAACCGCAUGGUUCAAACAUAAAAGGUGGCUUCGGCUACCACUUACAGAUGGACCCGCGGCGCAUUAGCUAGUUGGUGAGGUAACGGCUCACCAAGGCAACGAUGCGUAGCCGACCUGAGAGGGUGAUCGGCCACACUGGGACUGAGACACGGCCCAGACUCCUACGGGAGGCAGCAGUAGGGAAUCUUCCGCAAUGGACGAAAGUCUGACGGAGCAACGCCGCGUGAGUGAUGAAGGUUUUCGGAUCGUAAAGCUCUGUUGUUAGGGAAGAACAAGUACCGUUCGAAUAGGGCGGUACCUUGACGGUACCUAACCAGAAAGCCACGGCUAACUACGUGCCAGCAGCCGCGGUAAUA
rnacentral:rRNA from 1 species